GUGGGGAAUAUUGGGCAAUGGGCGCAAGCCUGACCCAGCAACGCCGCGUGAGGGAAGAAGGCUUUCGGGUUGUAAACCUCUGUCCUUGGUGACGAAAAAAAUGACGGUAGCCAAGGAGGAAGCCCCGGCUAACUACGUGCCAGCAGCCGCGGUAAUACGUAGGGGGCGAGCGUUGUCCGGAAUUACUGGGCGUAAAGGGUGCGUAGGUGGCCUUUUAAGUUGGAUGUGAAAUACCCGGGAUUAACUUGGGGGGUGCAUCCAAAACUGGGAGGCUAGAGGGCAGGAGAGGAAAGCGGAAUUCCUAGUGUAGCGGUGAAAUGCGUAGAUAUUAGGAGGAACACCAGUGGCGAAGGCGGCUUUCUGGACUGUAACUGACACUGAGGCACGAAAGCGUGGGGAGCAAACAGGAUUAGAUACCCGAGUAGUCC
rnacentral:rRNA from 1 species